rnacentral:rRNA from 1 species
AUUGAACGCUGGCGGCAGGCUUAACACAUGCAGGUCGAGCGGGGGAAGGUAGCUUGCUACCGGACCUAGCGGCGGACGGGUGAGUAAUGCUUAGGAAUCUGCCCAUUAGUGGGGGACAACAUCUCGAAAGGGAUGCUAAUACCGCAUACGUCCUACGGGAGAAAGCAGGGGAUCUUCGGACCUUGCGCUAAUAGAUGAGCCUAAGUCGGAUUGGCUAGUUGGUGGGGUAAAGGCCUACCAAGGCGACGAUCUGUAGCGGGUCUGGGAGGAUGAUCCGCCACACUGGGACUGGGAAACGGCCCAGACUCCUACGGGAGGCAGCAGUGGGGAAUACUGGACAAAGGAGGGAACCCUGAUCCAGCCAUGCCGCGUGGGAGAAGAAGGCCUUAUGGUUGUAAAGCACUUUAAGCGAGGAGGAGGCUACUUUAGUUAAUACCUAGAGACAGUGGACGUUACUCGCAGAAUAAGCACCGGCUAACUCUGUGCCAGCCGCCGCCGUAA